CGAAACUGCCGGUGUAAACCGUGAGGAAGGUGGGGAUGACGUCAAAUCAGCACGGCCCUUAUGUCCAGGGCUACACACGUGUUACAAUGGCCGGUACAACGGGCAGCCACAUAGCAAUAUGGAGCUAAUCUCAAAAGCCGGUCUCAGUUCGGAUUGGAGUCUGCAACCCGACUCCAUGAAGGUGGAUUCGCUAGUAAUCGCGCAUCAGCCAUGGCGCGGUGAAUACGUUCCCGGGCCUUGUACACACCGCCCGUCAAGCCAUGGAAGUUUGGGGUGCCUGAAGUUCGUAACCGCAAGGAGCGACCUAGGGUAAAACAAAUGACUGGGGCUAAGUCGUAACAAGGUAGCCGUACCGGAAGGUGUGGCUGGAACACCUCCUUUCUGGAG
rnacentral:rRNA from 1 species